rnacentral:rRNA from 1 species
GACGAACGCUGGCGGCGUGCUUAACACAUGCAAGUCGAACGGAAAGACCCUGCUUUUGUUGGGUGCUCGAGUGGCGAACGGGUGAGUAACACGUGAGUAACCUGCCCUUGACUUUGGGAUAACUUCAGGAAACUGGGGCUAAUACCGGAUAGGAGCUCCUGCUGCAUGGUGGGGGUUGGAAAGUUUCGGCGGUUGGGGAUGGACUCGCGGCUUAUCAGCUUGUUGGUGGGGUAGUGGCUUACCAAGGCUUUGACGGGUAGCCGGCCUGAGAGGGUGACCGGCCACAUUGGGCCUGCGAUACGGCCCAGACUCCUACGGGAGGCAGCAGUGGGGAAUAUUGCACAAUGGGCGGAAGCCUGAUGCAGCAACGCCGCGUGCGUGAUGACGGCCUUCGGGUUGUAAACCGCUUUCGCCUGUGACGAAGCGUGAGUGACGGUAAUGGGUAAAGAAGCACCGGCUAACUACGUG